rnacentral:rRNA from 1 species
GAUGAACGCUGGCGGCGUGCUUAACACAUGCAAGUCGAACGAGAAGUGAAGACGGAAACCUUCGGGCGGAAGGCUUUAUUUCGAGUGGCGGACGGGUGAGUAACGCGUGGGUAACCUGCCUCAUACAGGGGGAUAACAGUUGGAAACGACUGUUAAUACCGCAUAAGACCACAGCACCGCAUGGUGCGGGGGUAAAAACUCCGGUGGUAUGAGAGGGACCGGCGUUCGAUUAGCCAGUUGGCGGGGUAACGGCCCACCAAAGCGACGAUCGAUAGCCGAUCUGAGAGGAUGACCGGCCACAUUGGGACUGAGACACGGCCCAAACUCCUACGGGAGGCAGCAGUGGGGAAUAUUGCACAGUGGGGGAAACCCUGAUGCAGCGACGCCGCGUGAGUGAAGAAGUAUUUCGGUAUGUAAAGCUCUAUCAGCAGGGAAGAAAAUGACGGUACCUGAGGAAGAAGCCCCGGCUAACUACGUG